UACAGAGGGUGCGAGCGUUAAUCGGAAUUACUGGGCGUAAAGCGCGCGUAGGCGGCUUUGCAAGUCGGGUGUGAAAUCCCCAGGCUUAACCUGGGAACUGCAUUCGAGACUGCAUUGCUAGAGUAUGGGAGAGGGAAGUGGAAUUUCCGGUGUAGCGGUGAAAUGCGUAGAUAUCGGAAGGAACAUCAGUGGCGAAAGCGACUUCCUGGACCAAUACUGACGCUCAUGUGCGAAAGCAUGGAGAGCAAACAGG
rnacentral:rRNA from 1 species